rnacentral:tRNA from 1 species
GGGACGUUGACAGAGUGGUUGAAUGUGGACGACCCGAUGAUCCUCUGGGGGCUGCCGCAGCAGGGCGUUCGGGAGGGGAGGUCGUCCGGCAAACCGAAAGGCGAAGCCCAGGGGUUCGAAUCCCCUACGUUCCA